CUGGCUCAGGAUGAACGCUAGCGACAGGCUUAACACAUGCAAGUCGAGGGGCAUCACGGGAGUAGCAAUACAACUGGUGGCGACCGGCGCACGGGUGAGUAACGCGUAUGCAACCUACCUAUCAGAGGGGAAUAACCCGGCGAAAGUCGGACUAAUACCGCAUAAAACAGGGGCACCGCAUGGUGAUAUUUGUUAAAGAAAUUCGCUGAUAGAUGGGCAUGCGUUCCAUUAGGUAGUUGGUGAGGUAACGGCUCACCAAGCCGACGAUGGAUAGGGGAACUGAGAGGUUGGUCCCCCACACUGGUACUGAGACACGGACCAGACUCCUACGGGAGGCAGCAGUGAGGAAUAUUGGUCAAUGGGCGGGAGCCUGAACCAGCCAAGUCGCGUGAAGGAAAGAAGGAUCUAUGGUUCGUAAACUUCUUUUGCAGGGGAAUAAAGUGCAGGACGUGUCCUGUUUUGUAUGUACCCUGAGAAUAAGGAUCGGCUAACUCCGUGCCAGCAGCUGC
rnacentral:rRNA from 1 species